rnacentral:misc_RNA from 1 species
AAAAUAAUCCUACCCUUUGUGAAUUUUGUUUGUUUGAAUAAUUUUUUUUUUUAAAAAAUUAUUGGAGUCUUUCCCUUUAGAGUUUGCUUUUGAGUUUGUAAAAGAAUUCGAAAACAUCUAAAGGGGAUGGUCAAUAAUUUUUUUUGAAAAAAGACAUUUUUUAAAAUUAAACUUUUUGUAUUCAUUUGUCUAAAAAUUAUUUUUAUAAUAUAAAAACAACUUCUGACAAUGGAUCUCUUGGUUCUCGCGACGAUGAAGAACGCAGCAAAAUGCGAUAAGUAGUGUGAAUUGCAGAAUACGUGAAUCAUCGAAUCUUUGAACGCAUAUUGCACUUUUUUAGUUUACUAAAAAAGUAUGUCUGUUUGAGUAUCAGUAAAAUAUUCUCAUAAAAAUCAUUGUAUUUUUAUGGUUAUGAGUGUUUUACAACGAUACAAGUUAUUUCACUUUAAAUUUUUUUUUAAUAUUGAAAUUUUUCUAAUUUUAAUAAUUAAAAUUGGAUAAAAUUUUCCCGUCAAAAGGAAUAACCUAAACAAUUUUAAACGAUUAAUUUUAGCAAAAUUUUCGUAAAAAAGGAAAAUUUUUAUUAAAAUAACUUGAUCUCAAAUCAGAUAAGAGUACCCGCUGAACUUAAGCAUAUCAAUAAGCGGAGGAAAAGAAACUAACAAGGAUUCCCUUAGUAACGGCGAGUGAAGCGGGAAGAGCUCAAAUUUGAAAUCUUCAAGGUUUUACCUUGACGAAUUGUAGUUUAAAGAAGUGUUUUCUGCUGAAGUUUUGGUAAAAGUUCUUUGGAAUAGGACAUCAUAGAGGGUGAGAAUCCCGUAUUUGACCAUUAUUUUCAGCUUUGUGAUACACUUUCAAAGAAUCGGAUUGUUUGGGAAUGCAGUCCAAAAUGGGUGGUAAAUUUCAUCUAAAGCUAAAUAUUGGCGAGAGACCGAUAGCGAACAAGUACCGUGAGGGAAAGAUGAAAAGAACUUUGAAAAGAGAGUUAAACAGUACGUGAAAUUGUCAAAAGGGAAGCGUUUGACACCAGUGUUGUUUUCUCGAAAAUCAAUUAAAAAUGGCUCGAUUUUGUAUUGCUGAGACCUUAAAAGCUCACUGUACAUUUUUCGUGUCUUUUUUAAUGCACUUUUCGUUUAACAAGUCAACAUCAGUUUCUUUUGUUGUAAAAGGGUCAUUGGAAGGUGGCUUUCUUUUCGGAGAAAGUGUUUAUAGCCUUUGGCCUCUGCAAUCGGAGAGACUGAGGUCUGCAGCGUAGACUCUUCGGGGUUAGAUACAUUUGUGCUAUGUUAUAGCUUUUUAUAGACAACUUGUUGACUAUAAUUAGUCUUGUAGCUUACUCGCUUAUGCUAUUU